rnacentral:rRNA from 1 species
UACGAAGGGGGCUAGCGUUGUUCGGAAUUACUGGGCGUAAAGGGCGCGUAGGCGGUGUGUCAAGUCAGGCGUGAAAGCCCCGGGCUCAACCUGGGAACCGCGCUUGAGACUGGCACGCUCGAGUUCGGGAGAGGAUGGUGGAAUUCCCAGUGUAGAGGUGAAAUUCGUAGAUAUCGGGAGGAACACCUGUGGCGAAAGCGGCGCACUGGACCACAUCUGACGCUGAGGCGCGAAAGCUAGGGGAGCAAACAGG